rnacentral:rRNA from 1 species
CGGACUGAAGGCUCUUUCUCGAUUCCGUGGAAAGUGGUGCAUGGCCGUUUUUGGUUGGUGGAUCGAUCCGUCUGGUUAAUUCCGUUAACGAACGAGACCUCGGCACUCCGAAUAGCGCGGCGGACGUCGCGGCCUCCGGGCCGUCUUCCGCACGAGCUUCUUAGAGGGACCGUCCCCCGCCGGGGGAAGGAGGUGCGAGGCAACGACAGGUCUGUGAUGCCCUUAGAUGUUCUGGGCCGCACGCGCAUUACACUGACGCGUCCAACGGGUGACUCCCGACCCGAAGGGGCCGGGGAAUCCGCAAGGCGCGUCGUGAUGGGGAUUGAACGUUGCAAUUGUUGUUCACGAACGAGGAAUUCCUAGUAGGCGCGGGUCAUCAACCCGCGCCGAUUACGUCCCUGCCCUUUGUACACACC